rnacentral:rRNA from 1 species
GACGAACGCUGGCGGCGUGCUUAACACAUGCAAGUCGAACGGAGUGGCGAACGGGUGAGUAACACGUGGGUGACCUGCCCUGCACUUCGGGGUAAGCCUGGGAAACUGGGUCAAAUACCGGAUAGUGUGGGAUGGGCCCGCGGCAUAUCAGCUUGUUGGUGGGGUAAUGGCCUGCCAAGGCGGCGACGGGUAGCCGGCCUGAGAGGGUGGACGGCCAAAAUGGGACUGAGACACGGCCCAGACGCCUACGGGAGGCAGCAGUGGGGAAGAUUGCACAAUCGGCGGAAGCGUGAUGCAGCGACGCCGCGUGGGGGAUGACGGCCUUCGGGUUGUAAACUCCUUUCACCAUCGACGCGGUAGAUGGAGAAGAAGCACCGGCUAACUACGUGCCAGCCGCCGCGGUAAUAC